rnacentral:rRNA from 1 species
AGUCAACCUAACCUAUGGACGGGAAUAACCUCGGGAAACUGAGAAUAAUGCCCGAUAGAACAUUAUGCCUGGAAUGGUUUAUGUUCCAAAUGAUUUAUCGCCGUAGGAUGGGACUGCGGCCUAUCAGUUUGUUGGUGAGGUAAUGGCCCACCAAGACUAUUACAGGUACGGGCUCUGAGAGGAGCAGCCCGGAGAUGGGUACUGAGACACGGACCCAGGCCCUAUGGGGCGCAGCAGGCGAGAAAACUUUGCAAUGUGCGAAAGCACGACAAGGUUAAUCCGAGUGGUUUCUGCUAAAGAAACCUUUUGUCAGUCCUAGAAACACUGAUGAAUAAGGGGUGGGCAAGUUCUGGUGUCAGCCGCCGCGGUAAAACCAGCACCUCAAGUGGUCAGGAUGAUUAUUGGGCCUAAAGCAUCCGUAGCCGGCUCUGUAAGUUUUCGGUUAAAUCUGUACGCUCAACGUACAGGCUGCCGGGAAUACUGCACAGCUAGGGAGUGGGAGAGGUAGACGGUACUCGGUAGGAAGGGGUAAAAUCCUUUGAUCUAUUGAUGACCACCUGUGGCGAAGGCGGUCUACCAGAACACGUCCGACAGUGAGGGAUGAAAGCUGGGGGAGCAAACCGGAUUAGAUACCCGGGUAGUCCCAGCUGUAAACUAUGCAAACUCAGUGAUGCAUUGGCUUGUGGCCAAUGCAGUGCUGCAGGGAAGCCGUUAAGUUUGCCGCCUGGGAAGUACGUACGCAAGUAUGAAACUUA